AAAGUCAAUGGAAAAGGUGAGAUGUGAUGAUUGAGAGAUGUGAUUGACAGAUGGAUGAUGCGAUGUGACAGUGGCAUGAAAAUUAGAGGCACACCACUCAAAUGAUAGCAACAUGUCACCCAAGCGACGGUAGCACGCCACCCAAGCUGACAGCUGCAGGCUAGAGGUAGCGCACGCUACCCUAGCCCACCGCAUGCCGUAGUCCUAGCCUGCCUCCCACACGGACGGGAUGAGUGCACAAUGCGCACGUCCCGUGCUAGCUGCGCACGUGCACACCCAGGUGCACGUAAAGCCAUGUCGGCGAGAUCCCUUCCACGGGCGUUCU
rnacentral:lncRNA from 1 species